UACGAAGGGGGGCUAGCGUUGCUCGGAUUGACUGGGCGUAAAGGGCGCGUAGGCGGUUCGUACAGUCAGACGUGAAAUUCCUGGGCUCAACCUGGGGGCUGCGUUUGAUACGUGCGGACUUGAGUGCGGAAGAGGGUCGUGGAAUUCCCAGUGUAGAGGUGAAAUUCAUAGAUAUUGGGAAGAACACCGGUGGCGAAGGCGGCGACCUGGUCCGAUACUGACGCUGAGGCGCGAAAGCGUGGGGAGCAAACAGG
rnacentral:rRNA from 1 species